CACGUAGGGUGCGAGCGUUGUCCGGAAUUAUUGGGCGUAAAGAGCUCGUAGGCGGUGUGUCGCGUCGGCCGUGAAAACUUACAGCUUAACUGUGAGCGUGCGGUCGAUACGGGCAUCACUUGAGUUCGGCAGGGGAGACUGGAAUUCCUGGUGUAGCGGUGAAAUGCGCAGAUAUCAGGAGGAACACCGGUGGCGAAGGCGGGUCUCUGGGCCGAUACUGACGCUGAGGAGCGAAAGCGUGGGGAGCGAACAGG
rnacentral:rRNA from 1 species